rnacentral:rRNA from 1 species
GAUGAACGCUGGCGGCGUGCCUAAUACAUGCAAGUCGAGCGAACAGACGAGGAGCUUGCUCCUCUGACGUUAGCGGCGGACGGGUGAGUAACACGUGGAUAACCUACCUAUAAGACUGGGAUAACUUCGGGAAACCGGAGCUAAUACCGGAUAAUAUAUUGAACCGCAUGGUUCAAUAGUGAAAGACGGUUUUGCUGUCACUUAUAGAUGGAUCCGCGCCGCAUUAGCUAGUUGGUAAGGUAACGGCCUACCAAGGCAACGAUGCGUAGCCGACCUGAGAGGGGGAUCGGCCACACUGGAGCGGAGACACGGUCCAGACUCCUACGGGAGGCAGCAGUAGGGAAUCUUCCGCAAUGGGCGAAAGCCUGACGGAGCAACGCCGCGUGAGUGAUGAAGGUCUUCGGAUCGUAAAACUCUGUUAUUAGGGAAGAACAAAUGUGUAAGUAACUAUGCACGUCUUGACGGUACCUAAUCAGAAAGCCACGGCUAACUACGUG